rnacentral:rRNA from 1 species
CAGUCGCCACGGGAACACGAAGGGGGCUAGCGUUGUUCGGAUUUACUGGGCGUAAAGCGCACGUAGGCGGAUCGAUCAGUCAGGGGUGAAAUCCCAGAGCUCAACUCUGGAACUGCCUUUGAUACUGUCGAUCUGGAGUAUGGAAGAGGUGAGUGGAAUUCCGAGUGUAGAGGUGAAAUUCGUAGAUAUUCGGAGGAACACCAGUGGCGAAGGCGGCUCACUGGUCCAUUACUGACGCUGAGGUGCGAAAGCGUGGGGAGCAAACAGGAUUAGAUACCCCCGUAGUCCCUGUCUCUUAUAA